GAUUCGGAACCCUCCAUCGGCGCUGCUCCGUCCAUGCACUCAGUGGUCUCUGUCUCGGCGUGCCCUCCUACUCCCUCAGUGGUCUCUGUCUCGCAAACCCUCGUUGGAUUCGGAACCUCAAUCGUUGCUCACUCUAUUUCGCAAACCCUCAAUCGCCGAUCCUCCCUCCGUGGUUCAGCACCCGUCGCGUUGCCGUCUCCCUCUCUGAAAUCGUCGCGUCGCCGUCUCCCUCUCCCUCACUCGUCGCACCUUCGUCAGCCAUGUUCAACGUUCGCAGUGCCGUGCUGUGGUAGUGCUCAGCUACUGAUAUGUGGUGCUCAUUCUUUGAGUUUAUUCUUUGCUGAAUCUCGUUUGGCAGAGAAUACCUCUAGAUUUUUUGCAAGGUGACAAAUUUAGAGCAGCAACAGAUAAUUACAUUAGGCCUCUCCUAACUAAGGGAGUUCCAUCUCUUUUCUCUGAUCUUUCGUCUUUGUAUAAUCAGCCUGGGAAGGCAGACAUUUUGGAACAACUUAUUCUUGUAUUUUUUUUCACAGCGCUCUUCAAGCUAAGAGGUAAUUUGUAAAGGAGGAAUUCAAGAAAUUAUUGUAGCAUUUAUACUGAGCAUCGCAUCUACUAAAAUAAAUAAAUAUGUCAAAGGGAUUUGAGAUUCAUCAAGAGAAUAAUGAAGGAAAUGGCGGCAAGAGUAGUAAUGAUAAUGAGGGUGAGGAAAAUUCAUUUGACAUAAAUGAAGGAGUGGCUAUGAGUGAUGAUGGGGAAU